AGCGAACGCUGGCGGCAGGCUUAACACAUGCAAGUCGAACGGGCACUUCGGUGCUAGUGGCAGACGGGUGAGUAACACGUGGGAACGUACCUUUCGGUUCGGACUAAUACAGGGAAACUUGUACUAAUACCGGAUACGCCCUUCGGGGGAAAGAUUUAUCGGCGAUUGACCGGCCCGCGUCUGAUUAGCUAGUUGGUGAGGUAAUGGCUCACCAAGGCGACGAUCAGUAGCUGGUCUGAGAGGAUGAUCAGCCACACUGGGACUGAGACACGGCCCAGACUCCUACGGGAGGCAGCAUUGGGGAAUAUUGGACAAUGGGCGCAAGCCUGAUCCAGCCAUGCCGCGUGUGUGAUGAAGGCCUUAGGGUUGUAAAGCACUUUUGUCCGGGAAGAUAAUGACUGUACCGGAAGAAUAAGCCCCGGCUAACUUCGUGCCAGCCGCCGCAGUAAAAC
rnacentral:rRNA from 1 species